CAAAAACUCCCACGAAAGUCAUGAGGGAUUUUGGAUGAGCAAAGAAUGUAGAAUCAGUCCUAAGCACAAAUAUGACAAUUUGGACAAGGUUGUUUGAAUACAGGCUUGUGACGCAGCAGAAGACCAAACCUGAUUUGCAACAAGCAAGGAGUUAACUUCCGCACAGAUGACACAUGGGAGACCCAGUCUCUGAAGACCUUCCUCCUCAGUGCUGACCGUUAUGCCUACAGCAUGGCACAGACAGUCACAACAAAAGAUAAAACACUCCACAGCUUGUUAAGAAAUAAUAGCUGUGUACAAACUGGGACUGGAAGGAGCAGCAACCUAGAUUGUGAUCUUGUCAGAUUUUGUAAGCUAAGUAGGAUCCAGCCUGGUCAGUACUUAAAUGAAAG